rnacentral:rRNA from 1 species
UUGGAGGGCAAGUCUGGUGCCAGCAGCCGCGGUAAUUCCAGCUCCAUUAGCGUAUAUUAAAGUUGUUGCAGUUAAAAAGCUCGUAGUUGAAUUUCGGGAUCAAAUAAUCGGUCGUGCCUCCGGUACGUACUGGUUUUAUUGGUUCCUCCCUUCUGACGAACCAUGAUGUCAUUAAUUUGAUGUGGUGGAGAAUCAGGACUGUUACCUUGAAAAAAUUAGAGUGUUUAAAGCAGGCUAACGCUUGAAUACAUUAGCAUGGAAUAAUGAAAUAGGACGUUCGACCCUAUUUUGUUGGUUUCUAGGAUCGACGUAAUGAUUAAUAGGGAUAGUUGGGGGCAUUAGUAUUCAAUUGUCAGAGGUGAAAUUCUUGGAUUUAUUGAAGACUAACUACUGCGAAAGCAUUUGCCAAGGAUGUUUUCAUUAAUCAAGAACGAAAGUUAGGGGAUCGAAGACGAUCAGAUACCGUCGUAGUCUUAACCAUAAACUAUGCCGACUAGGGAUCGGAUGAUGUUAAUUUUUUAAUGACUCAUUCGGCGCCUUACGGGAAAC